rnacentral:rRNA from 1 species
ACAAGGAUUCCCCUAGUAACUGCGAGUGAAGCGGGAAAAGCUCAAAUUUAAAAUCUGAUGGUCUUYGUGGCCUUCCGAAUUGUAAUCUAGAGAAGUGUUAUCCGCGCUGGACCGUGUACAAGUCUCCUGGAAUGGAGCAUCAUAGAGGGUGAGAAUCCCGUCUUUGACAUGGACCACCAGGGCUUAUGUGAUAUGCUCUCAAAGAGUCGAGUUGUUUGGGAAUGCAGCUCUAAAUGGGUGGUAAAUUCCAUCUAAAGCUAAAUAUUGGCGAGAGACCGAUAGCGAACAAGUACCGUGAGGGAAAGAUGAAAAGAACUUUGGAAAGAGAGUUAAACAGUACGUGAAAUUGUUGAAAGGGAAACGCUUGAAGUCAGUCACAUUGGCCAGGGAUCAAUCUUGCUUUGCUUGGUGUAUUUUCUGGUUUCAAUGGGUCAGCAUCAAUUUUGAUUGAUGGAUAAAGAUCAGGGGAAUGUGACAUCUUAUGGAUGUGUUAUAGCCCUUGUUCGUAUACAUUGGUUGGAAUUGAGGAACUCAGCAUGCUGUGAGGCCGGGUUUUCUUUUGUUAAAACCACGUACAUGCUUAGGAUGCUGGCAUAAUGGCUUUAAUCGACCCGUCUUGAAACACGGACCAAGGAGUCUAACAUGCACGCGAGUGUUUGGGUGGAAAACCCGGGCGCGCAAUGAAAGUGAAAAUUGAGAUCCCUGUCGUGGGGAGCAUUGAUGCCCGGACCAGAUCUUUUGUGACGGUUCUGCGGUUGAGCGUGUAUGCUGGGACCCGAAAGAUGGUGAACUAUGCCUGAAUAGGGUGAAGCCAGAGGAAACUCUGGUGGAGGCUCGUAGCGAUUCUGACGUGCAAAUCGAUCGUCAAAUUUGGGUAUAGGGGCGAAAGACUAAUCGAACC